CACAAGCUUCCAUGGCGGUUUGAUUUGAGUGGAAAGAGAAGCUUUUUAUGAGAAGCCCAUGAGGUAGUGAAAAUUUGAGUUUGUAUCUCUCUCUGUUUUCUUGUGACAGAAAUUGAUUUCCUUUUUUGUCGGUGUCUGUGAAGUGCAGAGCAGGUUUUGGAUUCAAGAAAUUGAUGAGAAAAAAUGGGCUUUGAGUAAAAACUAUAAUAAUAAGUCUUUUGAUAAAAAGUGACUAGUGGUAAGAGGAUUAACCCAAAAGACAAAACUCUUUUAUUUGUUUGAGUGAAGUCUAAGUAACAAAAAAACUUUGUCUGGGUCUCUUUGGAUAAUGAGAAGAAGAAGAAGAAGAAGUAGAAAGAGGAGAAGAUGAAAAAGAUUUUUAUUAUUCAAUGGAAAUUAGAUUUGUGGUUUCUUUAUUUUAAAAUUUGUUUCCU
rnacentral:lncRNA from 1 species